GAUGAAGAACGCAGCGAAAUGCGAUAAGUAGUGUGAAUUGCAGAAUUCAGUGAAUCAUCGAAUCUUUGAACGCACAUUGCGCCUUCUAGUAUUCUGGGAGGCAUGCCUGUUUGAGCGUCAUUAAACCUCUCUCAAGUAUGAUUACUUGGAUGUGAAGGAAGAGUACCUUAAACUUAAGGAGUGUUCUCCUUUGAAAUUGAUUAGCAGAUGGUAAUGUUAUUAAAUCCCUGAUGUUGUAAGAAAUAACAGUGGUUUUGUAGACUAUUAUCUAGCUUUAAAUUAUAAUUUUUAUUAUGGUUGACCUCAAAUCAGGUAAGGAUACCCGCUGAACUUAAGCAUAUCAAUAAGCGGAGA
rnacentral:misc_RNA from 1 species